GACGAACGCUGGCGGCGUGCUUAACACAUGCAAGUCGAACGGUAAGGCCCUUCGGGGUACACGAGUGGCGAACGGGUGAGUAACACGUGGGUGAUCUGCCCUGCACUUCGGGAUAAGCCUGGGAAACUGGGUCUAGUACCGGAUAGGACUCCGGACUGCAUGGUCUGGGGUGGAAAGCUUUUGCGGUGUGGGAUGGGCCCGCGGCCUAUCAGCUUGUUGGUGGGGUGAUGGCCUACCAAGGCGACGACGGGUAGCCGGCCUGAGAGGGUGACCGGCCACACUGGGACUGAAAUACGGCCCAGACUCCUACGGGAGGCAGCAGUGGGGAAUAUUGCACAAUGGGCGCAAGCCUGAUGCAGCGACGCCGCGUGAGGGAUGACGGCCUUCGGGUUGUAAACCUCUUUCAGCACAGACGAAGCGCAAGUGACGGUAUGUGCAGAAGAAGGACCGGCCAACUACGUGCCAGCAGCCGCCGUAA
rnacentral:rRNA from 1 species